rnacentral:misc_RNA from 1 species
GGAAGCAGAGAUCAGGAAGAUGCUGGAGAAGCUGUGGGACGACGUGGUGGCCGGGCCUCGACCGGAGACCGGCCUGGAGAAGCUCCGCAAGGCCGCUACAACCCGCCCCCUUGUCAUCAACAAAGAUGGCGACGGCGAGGCGAGCGGGGCGGCGUACAAGCGGACGCAGUCGAUGCCGACGACCCCGACGACGCCGGUGACGCCGUCGUCUUCGUCUCCGACGACGACGGCGACGACGACGCCGCGGGGCAGCAACGUGUGGAGGAGCGUGUUCCACCCGGGGAGCAACCUCGCCACCAAGAGCCUCGGCGCCAACCUCUUCGACCGCCCGCAGCCCAACUCCCCCACCGUCUACGACUGGCUGUACAGCGACGAGACCAGGAGCAGCCAUCGCUGAACUAAAUAAUCCCAUUGAUCGGAGGCUGGUCGAUCUCUCUGUCACGCCACGUUUGCUGGUCCUUGUGGUUAUCUAAUACGUAAUUAAUUAUCUAGUAUGUUGCUAUCUUAUCUUGUUACUCUGUUCCUAGUAGCUUGCUGUCUCUGUUAGUACUACCAGAGACCGGUACGUGUCAGCUAGCCUGCUGGCUCCUAUCAAGGGCUAGCGACAACCCAAAGAAGUGUGUUUGUGUGUAAACAUCUUCCAUGUGUAAAUACUGCC